GAAGCCACAUCCCUGGCAUGGUCAGCAUGUGUUGCAGAGGACAUAAUAAAACUACUGGUGCUGGGCUGUUACCAAGGAUGUCUGAAGGAAUUGUCCAUAAGUGCAGCAUGUGCAGCAUGCCACAGUAGGUCCAUAACCUGUCCGGUUUCUGCCUUUACAUUCCAAAAAACUUUUAGCUGCUGGUGAUUAAUGUGCUUAGCCUUAUCAUUUGCUCAUCUUUUCCUUCUUUCCAUCUCAAAUUUGCAGUAUUCCUCUAACUAAAGCCUCAGUCACACUGUGAUAGUCCCUCAGUUUGAUGAAUAACUCCUUUUCUGCCAACCUGA
rnacentral:lncRNA from 1 species